CGGGUAGUAUUCGUCAAUUUGGAUGCUUGCAUGGCCUCACAGCUUGUGAAAAUUAAAGUGAUUGAGCGAUUGAAGGCGAGGUAUGGGGAUCUCUAUACUGAAAAGAAUGUUGCUAUCAGUGGUAUUCAUACCCAUGCUGGUCCUGGGGGCUACCUCCAAUACGUUGUGUAUAUUAUAACAUCACUUGGAUUUGUGCGUCAAUCUUUUGAUGUUAUUGUAGAUGGCAUUGAGAAGAGCAUAGUACAAGCUCAUGAAAAUCUCCGGCCAGGAUCAAUUUUUGUGAAUAAGGGAGAGCUGUU
rnacentral:misc_RNA from 1 species